GCCCGGUUAGCUCAAUCGGUAGAGCGUGAGACUCUUAAGAAGAGUAUCAUCUCAAGGUUGCGGGUUCGACCCCCGCAUCGGGCU